rnacentral:rRNA from 1 species
CCAGCCGUAAACGAUGGACGCUAGGUGUGGGGGGACGAUCCCCCCGUGCCGCAGCCAACGCAUUAAGCGUCCCGCCUGGGGAGUACGGCCGCAAGGCUAAAACUCAAAGGAAUUGACGGG